rnacentral:rRNA from 1 species
GACAGAGGGGCGAGCGUUGUCCGGAGUUACUGGGCGUAAAGCGCACGCAGGCGGUCUGCUAAGUUUGGAGUGACAGUUGGUGGCUUAACUGCCAAAGUGCUUCGAAAACUGACAGACUUGAGGGCUUCAGAGGGACACGGAAUUCCGGGUGGAGUGGUGAAAUGCGUAGAGAUCCGGAGGAACACCAAAGGCGAAGGCAGUGUCCUGGGGAGUACCUGACGCUCAGGUGCGAAAGCCAGGGGAGCGAACGGG